UGGUCAAGUUAUUAAGGGUGCAGGGCGGAUGCCUUGGCACUAGGAGCCGAUGAAGGACGUGAUAAGCUGCGAUAAGCUUCGGGGAGUUGCACGUAAACUUUGAUCCGAAGAUUUCCGAAUGAGGAAACUCACUUAGAGUAAUGUCUAAGUAUCAUUAAGUGAAUACAUAGCUUAAUGAGGGGAACUCAGGGAACUGAAACAUCUAAGUACCUGAAGGAAGAGAAAGAAAUUCGAUUCCGUAAGUAGCGGCGAGCGAACGCGGAUUAGCCCAAACCAAUGAAGUUUUCUUUAUUGGGGUUGCGGACAUAUCAUAACGAAGAGGUAUCGUAAUUGAAGAGGUUUGGAAAGACCCACCACAGAAGGUAAUAGUCCUGUAUGUUAAACGAGAAGACUUUAGAUAUGAUCC
rnacentral:rRNA from 1 species